GUUAGGAUUCCUAGCCUGACAUGGCCUCACUGCGCGACUUGUGCCAGAUCCCACUGUUGCCCCUGAACGUUGCUAGGUGCCCUCUGUAAAGAGGAGGGCUUCUCUGCCGGCAAAGCCCCUAUGAGCCCGAGGGGCUGUGCAGCAGCCAGACCCACUUGCACAGGUUUUAACAAUAACUGCCAUGUCCUUUGGUUUUCCUGGCUGUAAACAAGCUUUGACAAGUCCUUCCCAUCUCAUCGUUCCUGAGAUUUUUUCUGACUUCACAAGACCACUGAGGCUGGAGUCCACCUCCAGGGAGAAUACAAGCCUCUGAGUCAGAGACCGGCUGUGAGGCUCCCAGCAACUCUCGGUCUCACAUGGACCCUGCUUCACCAAAGAUGUCUCUUCGAGAAUCUUAAACUGAUUGUUGCCCGGUUGGUUGACUGGUUACAGAUCCCCGCCUUAUUGUUACCUGGCAGCAGAUUUCUCCAGACUACGGCUUCUGCUGACCAGCUGUUUAGCCUCGGUACUUGAUACAUGCUGCUAAAACCUGCAGCCACGGGAGCCAACAGCUGAGCCCACAGGAGCCAACCUCUGGCCCACUCGGAUCUCAGCCACACCCCAGAGCCGCAGAGAGAAGUGACUCAGGUUGGACACUGUGGCUCCAAGUGACCUCAAGUGACUCACCGCAUACAGAAUGAAGCUGACACCCUGAGUUUCACCUAUCAACUUAAUUUGUCAUGUACCUGGCAGCGGCUAUACCAGCCACUUCCCAGCACCAGCUAUAUUUAUAUGUGGGCAGACCUGCUAACAUCCCAAGCUUGCCUGCCCUGACACGAAGAGCCUCAACUCCAGCUGCACAUCUGCACACAUGGGGACCAUUGGCAACCCCUGGGGACCCAGGCCUCCUGCCAUGAUCUCAAUGGAAUUGGUCUAGAGUGGGCCUGGGCCCGUGUUUCCAGAGCUGCCCAGAGGAUUCGAAUGUGCAGCCAGGGGUGAAACCCACGGCUCUACCAUCUGAUUCUGUUAGGGAGAAGGAUGCUAAAGAGACACACUAUUUCCAUCCCAAUUCAGUCAGGAACACACCUGCAGCCUGGCUCAGGCCUUCAGUUGGUGGGCUUCUGGUGUGAACUCAGUUAUCCUCAUUUCUAACCUCAAAUUGUCCAUAAUUAUGUCUGUAUCCAACUCUUUCUCCUUGAGCUUUAGUAACUUUUAAGUUUCUGCUUCAUUCUCUGGACUGUGAGUUGAGAGUCUCAGUUCAUAGACCACCUCUGAAGGCAAAUUAUUACAUUAUAAAAAAUCUAGUGAUGGGAAAGUAGGUUGAGAAUGAAAUGCGAAAGGUCACCUGACGGCCCUGACAGUCGUGGAUCCUGUCCGUAAACUCUGUUUUGUUUUGCUUAUGUGUUUGUUUCUCUUAGGUCAACACUUUGUUACAUAUCUUUUGUUUGUUUCGUUUAGCUUUCUUAAUUUUGAGACUUUUGAACAUAGACAAAAGUAGAGAGAAGAGUUUCAUGGACAUACCUAUCCACUCCCCAACCCCAACAGUGGCCAACCUGGCCCCAUCCCUCACACCCACCAAUUUAGCCCAUCUUCUAUUAUUUCGAAGUAAAUCCC
rnacentral:lncRNA from 1 species